rnacentral:rRNA from 1 species
CACGUAGGGUGCGAGCGUUGUCCGGAAUUAUUGGGCGUAAAGAGCUCGUAGGCGGUUUGUCGCGUCUGCUGUCGAAAUCCCGAGCUCAACCUCGGGUCUGCAGUGGGUACGGGCAGACUGGAGUGCGGUAGGGGGAGAAUGGAAUUCCUGGUGUAGCGGUGGAAUGCGCAGAUAUCAGGAGGAACACCGAUGGCGAAGGCAGUUCUCUGGGCCGUAACUGACGCUGAGGAGCGAAAGCGUGGGGAGCGAACAGG